rnacentral:rRNA from 1 species
UACGAAGGACCGAGCGUUAUCCGGAUUUAUUGGGUUUAAAGGGUGCGUAGGCGGAUUAGUAAGUCAGUGGUGAAAGCCCAUCGCUUAACGGUGGAAUUGCCAUUGAUACUGCUAGUCUUGAGUAUGGUUGAGGUGGGCGGAAAUGUGUCAUGUAGCGGUGAAAUGCUUAGAUAUGACACAGAACACCAAUUGCGAAGGCAGCUCGCUAAGCCAUAACUGACGCUGAUGCACGAAAGCGUGGGGAGCAAACAGG